AUGGCCACCUUAAACCCAUGUUUUGAAAGCGUGAGACAGAGCACACGAUUCACGCUCAAGGGAGAACGAGGUAGCAUGCAUUCUGGCAAGACGCACAUUCAGCCAAGACUUGAGAGAAACCUGGCAGCCGUCUCCAAGUCUGGCACGAUUUCACCUCAGACGCACUCGGUUGGUUUGGAUGUUGAGGGAGACCGCACAAGAGAGAAGGAAAAGGAGGAAGAGAGCUGGAGAGCAAAGCUACCGCUCGGCGGCCGCCGCAGAGAGCAGGCCCGGGGCCUCUCAGCCAGGGGAUCUGGCUCCACCUACAGGAAUCAGAAGGCAAACCUAGUAGACGCCCCGGCGUCUGCAGGAACCCAGCAGGAGACUCACUUUGCAUUGGCCUACUGGAUGCCCUCAGCCAACUGGCUCUCACAGGAGGAAGUUAGCUUCCCCCACCCACCUGUUGGUCUGUCCCUGGGCUUCUGCGCCAGCUUCUGCUCUGGGCCACAGCCUCUGCUCAUGCUGCUGUACUCCAAAAAUCAAAUGCUGCCUGGAGCUAAUGCCAAUGCUGGAUUUUCAGAUGAAUGUGAGGUGAUCUGCUUCUCUGUGAUUCAGAACUUCAUAGAACUUGGCAGGCAAAGAAUUACAAAGAAAGGAAGAAAACGAAAGGGGGAAUUGAAGACAAAACCUUAUCCAGCCUUGGCGGCUCCUUCCCCCUUUAUCAGGGACUUAGUUCAUGAUCAGGAGGCUCACAGAGUACUAGAAGGGAGGGUCCGAGUCCAGCCGGGAGGACUGCGGCAUGGAGGGCGGCCUAGGACGUGCUGUGUUUGUGCUGACCCUGGCCUCCUGGCCUCGCUGCUGUCGCCGAGCUCCGUACUGGUCCUAAACACCCGCAACGACGAUGCGCUGUGGCAGCUGGAGGCCAAGCUGGGCGCCAGGCAGUCUGGCUUGCACGUGGUGCGGGUGCGCGCAGACCUGGGCGCCGAGGCUGGUUUGCAGUCCGCUGCUUGGUGCCCUGCGUCAGCUCCCCAGGGCCGCGGGGCUGCAGCGACUGCUGUUCAUCAACAACGCGGGCUCUCCUGGGGAUGUGUCCAAAGGCUUCGUGGACCUGGGUGACUCCACUCAAGUGAACAAAGACUGGGCGCUGAACUGGACCUCCAUGCUCUCUCUGCCGGACUUGCAGCGUCCUGAAGGCCUUCCCAACCAGUCUUGGCCUCAACAGAACUGUGGUUAACAUGUCAACCCUCUGUGCCCCGCAGCCCUUCAAAGACUGGGCACUGUACUGUGCGGGAAAGGCUGCUGCUAACAUACUGUUCCAGGUCCUGGCGUCGGAUGAACCUAAAGUGAGGGUGCCGAACUAGUCCCCAGGUGCUCCCGACACAGACGUGCCCCAGCGGUUAGCCCAGUAGACCUCCAUGGACCCAGACAUGCGAAAAGGCUGCAGGAGCUGAAGGCAAAGGGAGAGCUGGUGGAUUGCAGGGUGUCAGCCCAAAAACGGCUGAGCUUGCUGCAAAAGGAGGUGUUCAAGUCUGGAGACCACGUGGAUUUCUACGAUAAAUAAACCCAUGUGUUUGGCUUCCUGAACCUUUCUGCUCCCACUUUCAGACACACCCCAGAGCCCCGUGGCUCCUCACACCCUCCCAUGGUGGCAGUCCUGCCUUACACAGAUAAACACUCAUGUCUACUGUCCUACCCUCACACAUCGCCUGCUGUGAUGAGCUUCCAGGUCGCUGGCCUUACUAGUUAUCGGGAGUCUGGACUUGGCACCCUGGAUUAUGAGGAGGCUUAGGAGAGAGGUUAUGAGUGUCCCUGUCUCUAUCCCCAGGAAGAGAAUUUAAGGGAUAGGAAGAGCAGGAAAAGAAGCUGAAACACACCAGAGAGGAGGUUGUGUCUCCUGCUCAUAGCUAGUCCAUGGGGAGUGGGAAGAGUGACCUGAGUCAAAUAGGAGGACACAUGCAGAUUCGCAGAUGGCCUGGCGGGGAGAAAGAGCAGAAGGUACAAGUCCCCGCCCACACAGAUGUCCCUCGCUGAAGGGAGCAGCACCUUCUGUUGAACUUUGUGUCCUCACUCUGAUGUCUCCUUCCUCCAGAAUCCACCACCCCUCCCCCAGGCUGGGAGAAGGGGCCCUUGGAUGUCUGUGUACAUGGCCAAGGCAGAUACAAAUAAAAUU